rnacentral:misc_RNA from 1 species
GUCAAAUUAUAAUUUAAUUCAUUUCAAUUUAAGCUUAUAUAAGUGUUCAGAUUACUUUACACAUUAAAAUGACUAGCCAAGUCAAUGUUACAAUCUAACCAUUUAUAUUUAACAUUUUAUGUUUAUACUUUCCCGAUGUGAGAUUUAUAAUCUCAACAAUAUGCACAAAUUGAAGUGAGCUAAAGCGAAGUUGACAUAGUCAACACCUUUGGGGCAUGUGGACAAACACUUGCACGUGUACAAACACUUGCACGAGUUUUCCCAAAUAAAUUUCUAAUUAAGAAUUUGUCACAAUGGAAAUGUCCUAUAAUUUUAUUUUCUGUCAUGUAGUAAAGUUAUUUCUCUUUGUAGCAAAAUUUUCAGUGUGAGUGGUACCUUUGGAACAAAAUAUCAAUUUGGACUAUCAUGUGUUAGAGCAGUUGUAUUGGGAGAAAUUGAACAGAAAAAAUGGACUCAGGUGUUUCAUUUGCAGAAUAUAUACCUGAUUGCUAAUUGAAGUUUUUUCUUUUUUCUUUUUCUUUCUUUUCUUUUGAGGAUUGCUAAUUGAAGAUUGGUGUAACGUAUCAUUAGUUUAUCAGAAUUUUGAACAUUUUUAAUGCUUAGUCAUCCUUUUUGGCUUGAGUGCAGUGGUUCUGAUGUUUUGUGUUACU